GUGUGGCUGGAGGAAACGCGAGAAAAUUCGGUGGCGGGCCUUUGUGAGUUGUGAAGCACCAGGCGACAGAAACGUUUUGUUGGCACAGAAUAAUUUUUGCUGGUCUCAGGAGACACUGGGUAACUGGUGACGUGCAGACUGAUUCUUGCUGAGCCGCAGGACCGAGAGCCUUCACCAUCCUUCUCAACCUUCCCGUGGAGGCUGUGGCAUCGUGUGUGGAGGUCUCCGCUCUGACCUCUCGGCUCUGGCCCUUGUCCCAUCUUUCACGAGCAAGCCAACCCAGCGAGGGGACAGAUGUGAGUGGACACUGCCAACCUCUGGACGGGAGCGAUUGCGCAGCUUGGGAAGGGGGCCCCGUGUGACGCAUGAACGGGAUCUGGAAGGGCUGUUGAGGAGAAUUGCGGAUGUCAGCUUUUUCUGACAUCACAGCCAAUAAAAACUCACACCAGCACA